rnacentral:lncRNA from 1 species
AUGGAUGAAGGACUCAGGGAGACCCUUUAUCCCACUCCCGCACUACCCGCUCCCUGCCCAGGGCAAGGUCAAUGGGAAGGUGCGUGGGAGGUGACUCGCUCUAUGAAACAAAAGUCAGCACUAUGCCAGCACCCACCCCUCCGCAUGGAUGCUCACGGGUGUCUGGGACCCUGCCCACCUCCCCAAGCCCACAUCCCUGUGAUGAACCCUCAGGAAGAAUCAAAACAGAGGCACAGGGCCUUGUGGAUGGACUCUGCCCCUGCUCCGAGGCCCCAAGAGUCAAGAGUCAAAAAUAUUCUUUGUGCAAUAUCCAUAAAGCACAGGAGAGGACUCCCAGUCCCAGAGUCCACCAGACACCAACACAGAUCCUGGCCGCUCUGCCCGCCUCUAAUUGCUUUCCUCCUUGCUCCGCUUCACUGUGUGAACACUGAGGUUUUCUUUGGAAAAGGCACCAGGCUCACGGUUGUAGACGAUCUGAGCCGGGUGCACCCGCCCAAGGUGGCUGUGUUCGAACCCUCGGAAGCAGAGAUCUCCCGGACCCAGAAGGCCACCCUCGUGUGCCUGGCCACGGGCUUCUACCCCGACCACGUGGAGCUGACCUGGUGGGUGAACAGGAAGCAGGUCACCACUGGGGUCAGCACGGACCCUGAGCCCUACAAAGAGGACCUCACGCAGAAUGACUCCAGAUACUGUCUGAGCAGCCGGCUGAGGGUGACCGCCACCUUCUGGCACAACCCCCGCAACCACUUCCGAUGCCAAGUCCAGUUCUACGGGCUCACGGACGAGGACCAGUGGGAGGAGCAGGACAGGGACAAGCCUGUCACCCAGAACAUCAGCGCCGAGACCUGGGGCAGAGCAGACUGUGGCGUCACCUCCGCGUCUUAUCAGCAAGGCGUCCUGUCUGCCACCCUCCUCUAUGAGAUCCUGCUGGGGAAGGCCACCCUGUACGCUGUGCUGGUCAGCGCCCUGGUGCUGAUGGCCAUGGUUAAGAAAAAGGAUUCCUGA